GCCGGGCAUGGUGAUGCAUACCUGUAAUCCCAGCAGCUUGGGAGGCUGAGGCAGGAGGAUCGUGAGUUCAAAGCCAGCCUCAGCAAAAGUGAGGUGCUAAGCAACUCAGUGAGACCCUGUCUCUA
rnacentral:sRNA from 1 species